UGACUCGAUGGAAACAGAAGAAAAGACAAGCAGUGCAUUUGUAGGAAAGACACCAGAAGCCAGUCCAGAGCCUAAGGACCAGACUUUGAAAAUGAUUAAAAUUUUAAGUGGUGAAAUGGCUAUUGAGUUACAUCUGCAGUUCUUAAUACGAAACAAUAAUACAGACCUCAUGAUUCUAAAAAACACAAAGGAUGCAGUACGGAAUUCUGUAUGUCAUACUGCAACCGUUAUAGCAAACUCUUUUAUGCACUGUGGGACAACCAGUGACCAGUUUCUUAGAGAUAAUUUGGAAUGGUUAGCCAGAGCCACUAACUGGGCAAAAUUUACUGCUACAGCCAGUUUGGGUGUAAUUCAUAAGGGUCAUGAAAAAGAAGCAUUACAGUUAAUGGCAACAUACCUUCCCAAGGAUACUUCUCCAGGAUCAGCCUAUCAGGAAGGUGGAGGUCUCUAUGCACUAGGUCUUAUUCAUGCCAAUCAUGGUGGUGAUAUAAUUGACUAUCUGCUUAAUCAGCUUAAGAACGCCAGCAAUGAUAUCGUUAGACACGGUGGCAGUCUGGGCCUUGGUUUGGCAGCCAUGGGAACUGCACGUCAAGAUGUUUAUGAUUUGCUAAAAACAAACCUUUAUCAGGAUGAUGCAGUAACAGGGGAAGCAGCUGGCCUGGCCCUAGGUUUGGUUAUGUUGGGCUCUAAAAAUGCUCAGGCUAUUGAGGACAUGGUUGGUUAUGCACAAGAAACUCAACAUGAGAAGAUUCUGCGUGGUCUUGCAGUUGGCAUAGCUUUAGUAAUGUAUGGGAGGAUGGAAGAGGCUGAUGCUCUCAUUGAAUCUCUCUGUCGUGACAAGGACCCAAUUCUUCGAAGGUCUGGAAUGUAUACUGUAGCCAUGGCUUAUUGUGGCUCUGGUAACAACAAAGCAAUUCGACGCCUGCUACAUGUUGCUGUAAGUGAUGUUAAUGAUGAUGUCAGGAGGGCAGCAGUAGAAUCACUUGGGUUCAUUCUAUUCAG
rnacentral:sRNA from 1 species